GAGUUAUUCAGGGAUCCAGGCUCACUCCAGCAAGGAGGAAACAGUGGGGACAGUUGGCUGCCUAUGAAACUCUCCAGACUAGAAAGAGACCAUUACACAUGUUGUCAAGCCCAGAGGAAUUGUUUUCUGCACACCAAGUGCUCUUCUACAACGUAAAACAAAGUUCUCUGAAGUGCAGAACUUGGUAAUAGCUAAACCCCGCUUAAAAGUAGAAAAGGGAGUUCCAGAAAUAGUAGAAGGGCUUGGAAACAAGUAUAAAGAGCCAAAGAAGAGGUAUCAUCAGCAGGAAGAGGGUGAGGAUGCACCUGUAAGCCACACAUAUUGGAGAACACAGGUUCUUCACUGUAAGUCUGUGAAGCCCAAUAAAACAAGCUUUGGUGAAAAAGGUAGCCUAUUCAGGACACAGCAGAAUGUGAUUUUUCACUUCUGAAGAAAAGGGAAAUCUGGACAUAGCCCCAGAGAGGACAGUGCCGUGGACACACAGACGUGAGGGAGAAUGCCAGGUGAAGGCAGAAGCAGAGGCUGGAGGCAAGCCUCUAAAAACAAAUGGACGGCAAGGAUUUCCAGCCCCCACCAGAAGCUGGGGAAGAAGCCGGCAACAGAUUCUCUCAGAGCCUCCAGUUAGAACCAAUCAACCUUGGUUUUGGCCCUUUAGCAUGCAGAACUGUGAAAACAAUUCACUUCUGUCUUAAGCCA